rnacentral:rRNA from 1 species
UACAGAGGUCUCAAGCGUUGUUCGGAUUCAUUGGGCGUAAAGGGUGUGUAGGUGGCGCCGUAAGUCGGGUGUGAAAUUUCGGAGCUUAACUCCGAAACUGCAUUCGAUACUGCGGUGCUUGAGGACUGGAGAGGAGACUGGAAUUCCUGGUGUAGCGGUGAAAUGCGCAGAUAUCAGGAGGAACACCGGUGGCGAAGGCGGGUCUCUGGUACGUGACUGACGCUGAGACGCGAAAAGCGUGGGGGAGCAAACAGG